ACCACCACAAUUAGGCUGGGGCCGGGAGUUGAUCUUCGUGGCGAGAGAUCUGCUUAGUUAGCGUUUGCUGUUUCGGGGCGAUUGAAGGCCGCCGUGCCAAGGACACGCGCGCACACACACACACACACACACACACACACACACACACACACAGUCACUCUUACACACGCACGCUGGAUACAAAAGUCUGGAGGAUCUAGGGGAGAAUUGCAGCCGCCGGAUCUGUGCAGCAGCCGCGGCCAGAGCCAUGCGUGUCACGGCCUCCUGAGGGGGGAAAAGGAAGGAAGGGAGGAAGGAGGAAGAGAAAAGAGAGAAAGAAAGAAGGAAAAAAGAAAAGAGGGAGAAAGGAAAGCAGAAGAAAGACGCGGGGUGGUGGAAAGUGUUUGCCUGCUUUUGUCUCGCAAUACAGUGAACUGGAAGAUGGAGAUGGAUGUUAAGGGAGUUUCUCCGUGCCCGGAGCCCAUCCCCCCGGCGGCGGGGUCUGGCGGCUGCCCGCACCAGCGCCCGCACCACCGCGAUGGGCAGCCCGCGGAGCCGGCCCCCGCCGCCGACAGCGGCCACCCGGAGCGGAGGCACGGCAGUGAGAAAGAGGACAAAAAGGCAUCUGCAUUGAAACAUUCUGGAUUUUAUUAAACAUGGUGUCUGUCACUGAUUACAAAAUCUGCUGCUGAAGCAACUUCUAGAUGUGGUGGAAGACCUAUGGUUGUGGAUCCUUUGCACAUAUAAAUGUUAUUGUGUGUGUCUGUUUGACCAUGGUAGGAUAUUUAAUGUAUCAUAGAAACAAGUUUUGUAUCUCCAGUUUCAGUGUCCCUCUCAUCUUAGAUCCUUCCUUUCAAACAUUUUCCCAUGUUUCAGCCUUUAAAAAAAGAAGAAAAAACCCCCAAACCUUGAAAAAUUGUAACACACUAUGAAAAGUAUACACUAUUGUCAUCCUCUGGGGAAAAGGGGAACUUUACUGUGUCUGCUGUUGUUGUAAGUAUUGUGGUGUAUAGCAUGCUAAGUAACUGCUCAGUCAAAUGUCAGUGUGAAUUCAGAAAUCCUCAGUAGAGGAAAUAAAUAAAUAUUUUUAUUUUCUCUAAAA